rnacentral:misc_RNA from 1 species
GCUUUCUAAGGUGAAGAUACCACUGCACGACAUGCUGACUUCAGUGCUUGCUUUGGAAGAUUCAGCAUUAGAUAUUGAUCAGGUGGAGAACCUGAUUAAGUUUUGCCCAACAAAAGAGGAAAUCGAAGUGCUCAAGGGUUAUAAAGGAGAAAAAGAGAAGUUGGGUAGAUGUGAACAGUUUAUGUUAGAACUGAUGCAAGUCCCACGAAUAGAGUCCAAGCUACGGGUUUUCUCAUUUACGAUUCAGUUUCAAUCCCAGGUUUCUGAGCUAAG